rnacentral:rRNA from 1 species
GACGGAGGAUGCAAGUGUUAUCCGGAAUCACUGGGCGUAAAGCGUCUGUAGGUGGUUGAAUAAGUCAACUGUUAAAUCUUGAGGCUCAACCUCGAAAUCGCAGUCGAAACUAUUGGACUAGAGUAUAGUAGGGGUAAAGAGAAUUUCCAGUGGAGCGGUGAAAUGCGUAGAGAUUGGAAAGAAUACCGAUGGCGAAGGCACUUUACUGGGCUAUUACUAACACUGAGAGACGAAAGCUAGGGUAGCAAAUGGG